rnacentral:rRNA from 1 species
CGGACGGGUGAGUAAUGUCUGGGAAACUGCCUGAUGGAGGGGGAUAACUACUGGAAACGGUAGCUAAUACCGCAUAACGUCGCAAGACCAAAGAGGGGGACCUUCGGGCCUCUGCCAUCGGAUGUGCCCAGAUGGGAUUAGCUAGUAGGUGGGGUAACGGCUCACCUAGGCGACGAUCCCUAGCUGGUCUGAGAGGAUGACCAGCCACACUGGAACUGAGACACGGUCCAGACUCCUACGGGAGGCAGCAUG